CUGGAUCGUGGACAAGUUCGUUUGCCCGUCUGUCAGAGUGGGAGAGAGCUCAUAUUCCAAAUGUUAUCGCAAACGUCUUGACGCAUCGGUUCGUGAAAUCAUUAAGUUACACAAGGCGAAACUGAGCCAGCGAAUCUCCACCCAGCGAUCAAUAAAGUCAGAGAGAGAGAGAGAGAGAGAGAGAGAGAGAGAGGAUAGAGGAGAAAGAAGUAGGCAACUUUGGAAAUUAGUUGUGAAGUACGCCAGUUGGCAAGACGCGUAUUUGAUUAAAUGAAGGCGAAGCACUAACCGGGUGAGGACCAGAUGCAUUCAAAGAGGGCAACCCUUAGAAGGAAAUUCUACGACCUUAAUACACAGGGUUUGGAUUCCUAAAGCUACACACGGACGGGAAACAGUUU